UGGGGGAGACCAGUCCAGCUGAUUCGAAACCAGGCACCGUUCAUGGGGAUUUCUGUAUUCAAGUUGGCAUGAACAUCAUCCAUGGCAGUGAUUCAGUGGAGAGUGCCGAGAAAGAGAUGGGUCUGUGGUUUAAGCCCGAAGAACUGAUUGACUAUAAGUCUUGUGCCCAUGACUGGGUGUAUGAGUAGACGCGGAGAAACCAGAAUCCUUUUCAGCACUACUGAUGGGGUUCCUGGACACAGCUCUUCAUCCCACUGACUGGAUGGACCACCUUUUCUAAAACAAUAAAGACUUUGGAACUGGG
rnacentral:lncRNA from 1 species